rnacentral:lncRNA from 1 species
CAUAGUGUUUUUCAUAGUAAAAUCUUUUUAUAUAAAACAAAAUACUUUUAUAAAGUUAUUCGUUUUAUUAGAUUAUAAAUAGAAUAUAUUAUAUUUUAUUUAAAAAUUUUUGUUUUAUUUGAAUAUUUUAUUAAAUCAAUAUAGACCGUCCGAUUAAAAGUAAAUCAAUCUGAAUCGUUCAUGAAUUAGUUACUAUUCAGUCCAUUCUCCUAUAAAUAGAAGCUCAUUCCUUCAUUAUUUCUUACGAAUUCACUGAAGCUCUAGAGAGAGAAACUAUAGAGAGAGUUCUUCUUUUGUAAUCUCGAGCGUAUUUCUUUAGAGUUUAAGAAAGCUUUGAGCGUAGAAGAAAGUGCAAGUUUUCUUCAAGUAUAUUCCCGCCCUACCAGUCGGAAUACUCUUCUUUUACGGUAAGGGGUAUUAUUUCUUUCUUAUUCAUGAAGAGAACUUCUAUUAUUACAUUAUUUAUUAUUCUGUUGGAAUAACCUGUAUACGCAGGAUACCCUAUACUUGGUGAAAUUCUUCUGUUAUUCCAUUCUUUAUCAUUAUGUUGGAAUAACAUGUCUAUUCGAAGUACCGCAUACAUGGUAAAAUUCAUCUGUUAGUCCAUUUUUUAUUAUUUUGUUGGAACAUCUUGUCUGUGCGUUACGCAUGACCUGGUUCCGUUAUUUAUUAUUCUGUUGAAAUAUCCUGUCUGUGUGUUUACGUAUGACCUGGUUCCAUUAUUUAUUAUUCUUUUGGAAUAUCCUGUCAGUGCUUUACGCAUGCCCUGGUUCUAUUAUUUAUCAUUCUGUUGGAACAUCCUGUCUGUGUUUUACGCAUGACCUGGUUCCAUUAUUUAUUAUUCUGUUGGAAUAUCCUGUCUGUG